rnacentral:rRNA from 1 species
GAUGAACGCUGGCGGCGUGCCUAACACAUGCAAGUCGAGCGAUCUCUUCGGAGAGAGCGGCGGACGGGUGAGUAACGCGUGGGUAACCUGCCCUGUACACACGGAUAACAUACCGAAAGGUAUACUAAUACGGGAUAACAUACGAAAGUCGCAUGGCUUUUGUAUCAAAGCUCCGGCGGUACAGGAUGGACCCGCGUCUGAUUAGCUAGUUGGUAAGGUAAUGGCUUACCAAGGCAACGAUCAGUAGCCGACCUGAGAGGGUGAUCGGCCACACUGGAACUGAGACACGGUCCAGACUCCUACGGGAGGCAGCAGUGGGGAAUAUUGCACAAUGGGCGAAAGCCUGAUGCAGCAACGCCGCGUGAGCGAUGAAGGCCUUCGGGUCGUAAAGCUCUGUCCUCAAGGAAGAUAAUGACGGUACUUGAGGAGGAAGCCCCGGCUAACUACGUGCCAGCCGCCGCCGUAACAC